GACGAACGCUGGCGGCGUGCUUAACACAUGCAAGUCGAACGGAAAGGCCCUGCUUUUGUGGGGUGCUCGAGUGGCGAACGGGUGAGUAACACGUGAGUAACCUGCCCUUGACUUUGGGAUAACUUCAGGAAACUGGGGCUAAUACCGGAUAGGAGCUCCUGCUGCAUGGUGGGGGUUGGAAAGUUUCGGCGGUUGGGGAUGGACUCGCGGCUUAUCAGCUUGUUGGUGGGGUAGUGGCUUACCAAGGCUUUGACGGGUAGCCGGCCUGAGAGGGUGACCGGCCACAUUGGGAAUGGGGUACGGCCCCGAACCCUAAGGGGGGGAACAGGGGGGAAUAAUGGCAAAUGGGCGGAAGCCCUAUGCAGGAAAGCCGGGUGCGGGAUGAAGGCCCUCGGGUUGGAAAACGGCUUUGCCUGGGACGGAGCGGGAGGGAAGGUAAUGGGUAAAGAAGCACCGGCUAACUACGUG
rnacentral:rRNA from 1 species